UACGUAGGGUGCAAGCGUUGUCCGGAUUUAUUGGGCGUAAAGAGCUCGUAGGCGGUCUGUCGCGUCGGAUGUGAAAACCCAGGGCUCAACCCUGGGCCUGCAUUCGAUACGGGCAGACUAGAGUGUGGCAGGGGAGACUGGAAUUCCUGGUGUAGCGGUGAAAUGCGCAGAUAUCAGGAGGAACACCGGUGGCGAAGGCGGGUCUCUGGGCCAAUACUGACGCUGAGGCACGAAAGCGUGGGGAGCAAACAGG
rnacentral:rRNA from 1 species